ACCUGGGUGGCUCAGUCGUAAAGCAUCUGACUUUGGCUCAGGUCAUGAUCUCACAGUUUGUGAGUUUGAGUCCUACAUCGGGUG
rnacentral:tRNA from 1 species